rnacentral:rRNA from 1 species
AGUGGGGAAUAUUGGACAAUGGGGGCAACCCUGAUCCAGCCAUGCCGCGUGUGUGAAGAAGGCCUUUUGGUUGUAAAGCACUUUAAGCAGUGAAGAAGACCAUAUGGUUAAUACCCAUAUGCGAUGACAUUAGCUGCAGAAUAAGCACCGGCUAACUCUGUGCCAGCAGCCGCGGUAAUACAGAGGGUGCAAGCGUUAAUCGGAAUUACUGGGCGUAAAGCGAGCGUAGGUGGCUUGAUAAGUCAGAUGUGAAAUCCCCGGGCUUAACCUGGGAACUGCAUCUGAUACUGUCAGGCUAGAAUAGGUGAGAGGAAGGUAGAAUUCCAGGUGUAGCGGUGAAAUGCGUAGAGAUCUGGAGGAAUACCGAUGGCGAAGGCAGCCUUCUGGCAUCAUAUUGACACUGAGGUUCGAAAGCGUGGGUAGCAAA